rnacentral:rRNA from 1 species
UACAGAGGUGGCAAGCGUUGUUCGGAAUUACUGGGCGUAAAGGGCGCGUAGGCGGUCUUCUAAGUCUUGUGUGAAAUCCCUCGGCUUAACUGAGGAACUGCACGGGAUACUGGAAGACUUGAGUUCGGGAGAGGGAAGCGGAAUUCCGGGUGUGCGGUGAAAUGCGUAGAUAUCCGGAGGAACACCGGUGGCGAAGGCGGC